CUUUAGCCCCGAUUGUAGCAAAAAUCCGUAUUUGGCAGGGGUUCUGCCAAAUACUAUUGUAGCGUAAAGCGGGACUGCUU
rnacentral:sRNA from 1 species